CCCCGUAUUCAGAAGUGGUCAUGGGCUUCUCAUGCCCUGGUCAUUGAUAGUGCCGGGAGAGGAUUCCGAAAGUCGUUCCCCAUGUUUGAAAGGUCCGCUCCUAUCCUUGCCAGGCCCCAGGGCUUUCAGACA
ensembl:snoRNA SNORA71 Small nucleolar RNA SNORA71